rnacentral:rRNA from 1 species
UACGAAGGGGGGCUAGCGUUGCUCGGAAUCACUGGGCGUAAAGCGCACGUAGGCGGACUCUUAAGUCGGUGGUGAAAUCCUGGAGCUCAACUCCAGAACUGCCUUUGAUACUGAAGAUCUUGAGUUCGGGAGAGGUGAGUGGAACUGCGAGUGUAGAGGUGAAAUUCGUAGAUAUUCGGAAGAACACCAGUGGCGAAGGCGGCUCACUGGACUGGUAUUGACGCUGAGGUGCGAAAGCGUGGGGAGCAAACAGG